rnacentral:rRNA from 1 species
CGAUGUGGGGACGGAGAAGGUUAGCUCAGCCAACUGUUGGAUAUGUUGGUUCAAGCCUGUAGUCGUGCCCGGUAGGCAAAUCCGCCGGGCUUAGAUGAGGGGUGAUAACGAGGCUGCUUGCAGCCGAAGUGAGUGAUACCCUGCUUCCAGGAAAAGCCACUAAGCUUCAGCUACACACGACCGUACCGCAAACCGACACUGGUGCGCGAGAUGAGUAUUCUAAGGCGCUUGAGAGAACUCAGGAGAAGGAACUCGGCAAAUUGAUACCGUAACUUCGGGAGAAGGUAUGCCCUAAGUAAGUGAAGUUGUACAAACGGAGCUGAACAGGGUUGCAAAAAAUCGGUGGCUGCGACUGUUUAAUAAAAACACAGCACUCUGCAAACACGAAAGUGGACGUAUAGGGUGUGACGCCUGCCCGGUGCUGGAAGAUUAAAUGAUGGGGUGCAAGCUCUUGACUGAAGUCCCAGUAAACGGCGGCCGUAACGAUAACGGUCCUAAGGUAGCGAAAUUCCUUGUCGGGUAAGUUCCGACCUGCACGAACGGCGUAACGAUGGCCACACUGUCUCCUCCUGAGACUCAGCGAAGUUGAAAUGUUUGUGAUGAUGCAAUCUCCCCGCGGAAAGACGGAAAGACCCCAUGAACCUUUACUGUAGCUUUGUAUUGGACUUUGAACAGAUCUGUGUAGGAUAGGUGGGAGGCUUUGAAGUGAGGUCGCUAGAUCUCAUGGAGCCAACGUUGAAAUACCACCCUGGUGUGUUUGAGGUUCUAACCUAGGUCCAUUAUCUGGAUCGGGGACAGUGCAUGGUAGGCAGUUUGACUGGGGCGGUCUCCUCCCAAAGCGUAACGGAGGAGUUCGAAGGUACGCUAGUUACGGUCGGACAUCGUGACGAUAGUGCAAUGGCAUAAGCGUGCUUAACUGCGAGACUGACAAGUCGAGCAGAUGCGAAAGCAGGACAUAGUGAUCCGGUGGUUCUGUAUGGAAGGGCCAUCGCUCAACGGAUAAAAGGUACUCUGGGGAUAACAGGCUGAUACCGCCCAAGAGUUCAUAUCGACGGCGGUGUUUGGCACCUCGAUGUCGGCUCAUCUCAUCCUGGGGCUGUAGCCGGUCCCAAGGGUAUGGCUGUUCGCCAUUUAAAGAGGUACGUGAGCUGGGUUUAAAACGUCGUGAGACAGUUUGGUCCCUAUCUUCCGUGGGCGCUGCAGAUUUGAGGAAGCCUGCUCCUAGUACGAGAGGACCGGAGUGGACACACCUCUGGUGUAUCGGUUGUCACGCCAGUGGCAUUGCCGAGUAGCUAAGUGUGGAAGAGAUAACCGCUGAAAGCAUCUAAGCGGGAAACUCGUUUCAAGAUGAGAUCUGCCGGGGCCUUGAGCCCCCUAAAGAGUCGUUCAAGACCAGGACGUUGAUAGGUCAGGUGUGGAAGA